rnacentral:rRNA from 1 species
AGAUUGAACGCUGGCGGCAGGCCUAACACAUGCAAGUCGAGCGGUAGAGAGGUGCUUGCACCUCUUGAGAGCGGCGGACGGGUGAGUAAUGCCUAGGAAUCUGCCUAGUGGUGGGGGAUAACGUUCGGAAACGGACGCUAAUACCGCAUACGUCCUACGGGAGAAAGCGGGGGACCUUCGGGCCUCGCGCCAUUAGAUGAGCCUAGGUCGGAUUAGCUAGUUGGUGAGGUAAUGGCUCACCAAGGCGACGAUCCGUAACUGGUCUGAGAGGAUGAUCAGUCACACUGGAACUGAGACACGGUCCAGACUCCUACGGGAGGCAGCAGUGGGGGAAUAUUGGACAAUGGGCGAAAGCCUGAUCCAGCCAUGCCGCGUGUGUGAAAG